CUGGACCCACAGCUGGUUAUGGUUCAUAUCCAGCAUCAGCUCAGCCUGGUUAUGCUGAACAACCAGCUGCAAGCAACGCAACUUAUGGGUAUGGUGCACCUGCAGCAGAUCCAACUUAUGGUGCACCUGCAGCUGUUCAGUCUGGUUAUGCUCAAACUCAACCUAGCUAUGAUCAGUCUGCUGGUUAUGGGAAUGUGCCUCCUGCUGCUGCACCAGCUGCCUAUGG
rnacentral:lncRNA from 1 species